UACGUAGGGGGCAAGCGUUGUCCGGAUUUAUUGGGCGUAAAGAGCGUGUAGGCGGCUUUACAGGUCCGUUGUGAAAACUCGAGGCUCAACCUCGAGACGCCGGUGGAAACCGUAAAGCUAGAGUCCGGAAGAGGAGAGUGGAAUUCCUGGUGUAGCGGUGAAAUGCGCAGAUAUCAGGAGGAACACCCGUGGCGAAAGCGGUUCUCUGGGACGGUACUGACGCUGAGACGCGAAAGCGUGGGGAGCAAACAGG
rnacentral:rRNA from 1 species